AUCCAGUCGACGAGUCCUAAACACGGCGAAAUGCGCGUCCUGGAU
rnacentral:hammerhead_ribozyme from 1 species